UGGCGGACGGGUGAGUAACGCGUGGGUAACCUGCCUUGUACAGGGGGAUAACAGCCAGAAAUGGUUGCUACUAUCCCAUAAGCCUUCAGUAUCGCAUGAGACAGCAGGAAAAGAUCUUUCGGUAUAAGAUGGACCCGCGUCUGAUUAGCUAGUUGGUAAGGUAACGGCUUACCAAGGCGACGAUCAGUAGCCGACUUGAGAGAGUGAUCGGCCACAUUGGGACUGAGACACGAUCCAACUCUAUACGGGAGGCAGCAGUGGGGAAUAUUGCACAAUGGGGGAAACCCUGAUGCAGCGACGCCGCGUGAAGGAAGAAGUAUUUCGGUACGUAAACUUCUAUCAGCAAGGAAGAAAAUGACGGUACUUGACUAAGAAGCCCCGGCUAACUACGUGCCAGCAGCCGCGGUAAUACGUAGGGGGCAAGCGUUAUCCGGAUUUACUGGGUGUA
rnacentral:rRNA from 1 species